rnacentral:lncRNA from 1 species
UUUCAGUAAAGAGCUCAAUUACAUGACCAACAACAAAUGGGUAAUCCUAUUCAUAUCAAGUGAACAAUAGAGUGCUUGUUAUUUAGAAGGUAUUGUGACCGAGCUCCAGGCUUUUGUAACCAGUGGUUUACUUAAGUCUCUCCUCUCUAUGUGUUAAUAUUAUACAUUAUAUAUACUAUGUAUACAUAUUAUGUAUUUAGUAUUCUACUCAGCUAUUCCAUUCAACCUCCAUUGAAGACUGUGUGACUUUAUUACAGAAAUAGAGUUCACAGUAAAGACGACUUGCAUACAAAAGUCCUAUAUUUUUAUUUUACAAUGCUAUUUUCUUUCAGCAAAAUUAAAAAGCUGGCGCUGCCAAGAUCGCCUGCGUUUUGGAACAGGAUGGAAACUAGCCUCCUUUUCAGAUCCCUGGCGUCCUGGUGAUUUGAUUAAGAACACAAGUACCCAGCAAGCAAGAAGCACCUUGAGAGCUGCCCGGGGGACAUUUCAGAGGAAAGCCCCAGGGAAAAGGAGAGGUCUGACAAGAGCAGCCCGCAGGCUACAUCGUGCUGAUGCCGCUCCCUUUUACAGGUGAACUUUCACAGAAAAGCAGUUUUAAGUUCACAGAAGGGGUUCGGAUGACCUUCAGAAGCUGGGCGUCCAGCGUUUCCACUUUGGCCUCGCGUUUUAACAUAGUGUGGCGAGAGCCGACCUCCCCCGACAGACCUGCACUCGGAGGCACAGCGGCUCGCUCCAGCCGCCGGGUCGCGUCCGGGUGCGGAGCUCAGAGCGCCCGGGUCGCGGGCAUCGGGGCGGGUGUGUUGCCGGAGUAGCCUCGGAUUGGCUGCCCUAGGGCCGCCCUACCCGGGCACCGGAUUGGGCGGAGCUGGGCCCUGCUGGCCGAGCUCAUUGGAGGGAGCGGCAGGGGCGGGGCGGGCUGGGUGCCGACCGGGCGCGCGGGCGGCGGAGCGGGCGCCGGGCCGACCCGGCCUGCGGGCGGCGCGAGGUCCUGAAGCCGAGGCGCGCCGGUUGGGGCUACCGUGUCCCGGGCAGUCUCUGCGUCCGCAGAACGGCCACUCCGAGACAGCUUCCGCCAGCGCCCUCCUCUGCAUCCUGCGCCGGCCGCUCCGCCGGCGGGGCCGCGCACGGGCGCCGCGGGCCGGCCAGCUGUCGGGGGCGGCGGGCGGCGCGGGACACAAAGAGCGCGCGAGGGCGGCAGACGCGGGACGGCGCCUUCGGCCGCGCCCGCCGGCCGCUCCAAGGCCGCGGAGACCAUACGGCCCCGGCCCGCUCGCGCACCUCCCGGCCGGAGGGCCGUCGGCCGCCGAGCGGGCACCGGGAGCCGGGAAAAGUUGGCGGCGCGUCCGCCGCGGGGAGGCCCGGGGCCGCGGGGGAGAAAAGACACUUUUUACAGAGCUGGGAGCUCAUAAACGUCUCAAAAGAAAGAUGCUGGAUAAUUGGAAAUAAGAAUUUGAGUUUCCUGGUUUUCUGUGUGUGUACAACCCAUAGGAAAUUCUUCCCAGUAAAUUCCUGUAGCCUUCAGACAUUUUCAAGAGGCAAAGGACCAGUGGAUUGGAUUGGUGACUGCAGCUUUGUCAGCAGCCAUGACUCCAUGUCCCAGGAUGCAGGGCAACCCAUCUGGGGAAGAGCCGAGGAGGCAGAGGAUGCCCUUCUAUGCAAACUACGGUGGCAGGACCAGCCUUCCACCUCCCUGGAGGUGAUCUGUGCUCUGGAUGUGCUGACUUGGAAAAGCAGGGCAACAGUGGAUACCAGCAGCCUGCCUUUGCAUUCUUCUUCAGAUGUGGGGAACUUCAGCCCAAACUGCCCAGGGCCCACCAAAGGGUGUGACAUCGCCUCCUGAUAGGCAGGACCAGAGGGCUUUGCUUCCCAGCCACACCCAGGUCCAGGGAUGGGUGCUCUGUCUCCUACUCCAUCCUUCAGGGCAGAAGUGAUGGGCUAUUCAUACUGUUACCUGAGGCCGGACCAAUGUGGAAAGACUUCUCCAUUCCAUAAGUGGCCAAAAACAAGCAAGCAAAACUUCCAGAGUUUUCUCACAGAACUUUAGUGAAAAUUUUUAAAAUUCAUAUUUUAUUAUAUAUGUAAUAAUGGAUAUAGUUAUGUAACUAUUCCUUUAUUUUAUGGAUUUAGUAUGUAUAUAAUUUCAAUAAAUUGUAGACAGACAUAGAUAUUGUCUUCUAGGAAGUUUGCUCAUAGAUCCUGAUAUUGCCAUGUAUUGCCAAAUCUCGUUUCCCAUGGGAAGGGAAAAAGAUUGUUUGUUACAGGUAAGGAUUGGCUACAGAGAUGUUCUUAUUUUUAUAAAUUUGGAAUUUGUUCUACAGCCCCCAAGAGUAGAGACAGAAGUGAGCCAGGGCCAAUGGAACUGGAGAAAACAGGUUAGAUUCAAGCGUCAGUUUGUGGAUUGCACUCAGAACAUGGUAUUUAGCUAGAUGUGGGACAUCUAACAACAAUCCCAAAGCAUCUACAGAACAACCUCUCUGCAACUCACUGGAGGCAACUCCUGGUCUGGCCCAGCCCACCUUCCAGCCUCCUGCCCCCACCCGCCCACUAUGCAGUCCGUGUUUACUGGCACCACACACCCUCAUGUUUCAUGAGUUUACACACUUGUCACCCUUCCCCAUGACUCUCCAUCUGGUGAAAUCCUAGCCAUGCCUAAGCCCCAGCCCCAAAGCCACCUUUUCUGCUAAGCCCUCAUCCACUCCCCCUUCCCACUUCCUGCAAACUAACUAAAUAACUGGCCCCUGCUUCUAGGCCUCAUAGGACUGUGUUCACUGUGUAAAGCUCCAUAGAGGGUCAGUCACCCCCGUCUUUCACACUGCACUGCAAGCUCCUCCAAGAAGGAGCUUGGCUUAAUUCCUUUUAUUUCCCAAGUUUCUAGCACAAUAUUGGCACAUAAUAGGAAAUAGUAUUUCUUAAAUAAAGAAAAGGAGAGAGGGAAAGGAAUUCCAGUCAAAGGCCUUUCUAAUAAGAAUCCUGUGAAAAUCUCAAAGGAGCCUGACUAUGGCCAUGGCGUUGGGAAUGGAAAUUCAAAAUUAUGAACAGAUUAGACUGGACCAGUGAUCAAAUAUAAGGAAUGAGAGAGAAGGACCGGAAGAUGAUUUGACCAAGUUUCCUGACCUCAGAGACAGAGACCAUAAACCAGUUAUUGAUUGAAAACACAGGAAGAGUAAGAAUGGGGCAGAGGUGAAUUUUCUUUCCAACUCUUCACUUGAUACCGAGAGGGACAUUCAGUGAUAGAUGCUUCACAGAUAAUUGUGUAUUCAGAGCUGACACCUUAGGAAGGGAUCAGAGCUUAUAGCGCAACAGCAACAGCGGAGGAAACUAUGGUAUGGAUCCCAUGUUAGAGAAAAGGACCAAUGAUUGGAUUUGGGGUUCUGCCUCUAAGAAAUGAGAAAAAGAAGAGAAGGCAAUAAAGGAAUCUGGAGAGAGCCAGAUGAAGCCAUAUAAGAAAACACAGUGUCACAGGAGCCAGUGGAAGAAGAGCCAUUCAAAGAGAGCAGGAGGCCAGGGCUACAGGAUGUUGACAAUGAGCCAGAGGAGGAGGAUGCAGUCACUCAAGGUAACCCCAGAGACGCAGCCUCACCAGAUGGGAUGUAGAUGGAGCUGGUAGAGGGAGAAAGUGAAAACAGUGAGUGUGACCUUCUCUUAGAAAUGUUAGUCAUAACAGGGAUGAGGGAUAUUUCCACUCAUUCUGUAAAUUAUUUCUAAUUGUGACUACAUUGUCUUUUAAUCGAAUGUUGGCUUAAUCAAGUUUCAUUAAAGCUUUAACUGCCCACAG